rnacentral:rRNA from 1 species
AUUGAACGCUGGCGGCGUGCCCUACACAUGCAAGUCGAACGGCAGCACGGGAGCAAUCCUGGUGGCGAGUGGCGAACGGGUGAGUAAAGCAUCGGAACGUGCCCAGUCGUGGGGGAUAACGUAGCGAAAGCUACGCUAAUACCGCAUACGAUCUGUGGAUGAAAGCGGGGGACCGUAAGGCCCCGCGCGAUUGGAGCGGCCGAUGUCAGAUUAGGUAGUUGGUGAGGUAAAGGCUCACCAAGCCGACGAUCUGUAGCUGGUCUGAGAGGACGACCAGCCACACUGGGACUGAGACACGGCCCAGACUCCUACGGGAGGCAGCAGUGGGGAAUUUUGGACAAUGGGCGCAAGCCUGAUCCAGCAAUGCCGCGUGCAGGAUGAAGGCCUUCGGGUUGUAAACUGCUUUUGUACGGAGCGAAAAGGCUUCCACUAAUACUGGGGGCUCAUGACGGUACCGUAAGAAUAAGCACCGGCUAACUACGUGCCAGCCGCCGCAGUAACAC